rnacentral:rRNA from 1 species
GACGAACGCUGUCGGCGUGCUUAACACAUGCAAGUCGAACGGAAAGGCCCUGCUUUUGUGGGGUGCUCGAGUGGCGAACGGGUGAGUAACACGUGAGUAACCUGCCCUUGACUUUGGGAUAACUUCAGGAAACUGGGGCUAAUACCGGAUAGGAGCUCCUGCUGCAUGGUGGGGGUUGGAAAGUUUCGGCGGUUGGGGAUGGACUCGCGGCUUAUCAGCUUGUUGGUGGGGUAGUGGCUUACCAAGGCUUUGACGGGUAGCCGGCCUGAGAGGGUGACCGGCCACAUUGGGACUGAGAUACGGCCCAGACUCCUACGGGAGGCAGCAGUGGGGAAUAUUGCACAAUGGGCGGAAGCCUGAUGCAGCAACGCCGCGUGCGGGAUGACGGCCUUCGGGUUGUAAACCGCUUUCGCCUGUGACGAAGCGUGAGUGACGGUAAUGGGUAAAGAAGCACCGGCUAACUACGUGCCAGCAGCCGCGGUGAUACGUAGGGUGCGAGCGUUGUCCGGAUUUAUUGGGCGUAAAGGGCUCGUAGGUGGUUGAUCGCGUCGGAAGUGUAAUCUUGGGGCUUAACCCUGAGCGUGCUUUCGAUACGGGUUGACUUGAGGAAGGUAGGGGAGAAUGGAAUUCCUGGUGGAGCGGUGGAAUGCGCAGAUAUCAGGAGGAACACCAGUGGCGAAGGCGGUUCUCUGGGCCUUUCCUGACGCUGAGGAGCGAAAGCGUGGGGAGCGAACAGGCUUAGAUACCCUGGUAGUCCACGCUGUAAACGGUGGGUACUAGGUGUGGGGUCCAUUCCACGGGUUCCGUGCCGUAGCUAACGCUUUAAGUACCCCGCCUGGGGAGUACGGCCGCAAGGCUAAAACUCAAAGGAAUUGACGGGGCCCCGCACAAGCGGCGGAGCAUGCGGAUUAAUUCGAUGCAACGCGUAGAACCUUACCUGGGUUUGACAUGGAUCGGGAGUGCUCAGAGAUGGGUGUGCCUCUUUUGGGGUCGGUUCACAGGUGGUGCAUGCCUGUCGUCAGCUCGUGUCGUGAGAUGUUGGGUUAAGUCCCGCAACGAGCGCAACCCUUGUUCACUGUUGCCAGCACGUUAUGGUGGGGACUCAGUGGAGACCGCCGGGGUCAACUCGGAGGAAGGUGGGGAUGACGUCAAGCCAUCAUGCCCCUUAUGUCCAGGGCUUCACGCAUGCUACAAUGGCUGGUACAGAGAGUGGCGAGCCUGUGAGGGUGAGCGAAUCUCGGAAAGCCGGUCUCAGUUCGGAUUGGGGUCUGCAACUCGACCUCAUGAAGUCGGAGUCGCUAGUAAUCGCAGAUCAGCAACGCUGCGGUGAAUACGUUCCCGGG